UCAGGGACAGCACCCAGGUCCUGAGUUCAAGCCCCACAACUGACAAAAAAAAAACAGAAAAAAAAUAUAGGUCAGACAUGAGUCUAAACUAUCAAAACAAGAGGUAAAAGAUUUCAAAGUAGUGACAGUUUCAGAGUAUUAACAGUAGUGACAGCUUUUUAUCAGAUUAUCUUACUGCUUCAAAUUACCAUGUUUACCCAGUAUUUUAUCCUUUGCCAAGACAAAAACAUCCAAUAAAAGUGGAUUUUCUGAUCUACAUGUGAAAUUCCUA